rnacentral:rRNA from 1 species
AACGAACGCUGGCGGCGUGCCUAACACAUGCAAGUCGAGCGAGAAAGUCCCGGCAACGGGAUGAGUAAAGCGGCAAACGGGUGAGUAACGCGUGGGUAAUCUACCCUACGGAUCGGGAUAACCUGCCGAAAGGUGGACUAAUACCGGAUGAUGUUCUCGCGGUGAUUCCGUGGGAACCAAAGGGGGCGAGCGUAAGCAGCUCUCACCGAAGGAGGAGCCUGCGUCCGAUUAGCUAGUUGGUGGGGUAAUGGCCUACCAAGGCGACGAUCGGUAGCCGGCCUGAGAGGGCGAUCGGCCACACUGGAACUGAGACACGGUCCAGACUCCUACGGGAGGCAGCAGUGGGGAAUAUUGCGCAAUGGGCGAAAGCCUGACGCAGCGACGCCGCGUGGGUGAUGAAGGCCUUCGAGUCGUAAAGCCCUGUCUGGUGGAACGAAACGCCUGGCGGCCAAUACCCGCCGGGUUUGACGGUACCACCGAAGGAAGCCCCGGCUAACUACGUGCCAGCAGCCGCGGUAAGACGUAGGGGGCGAGCGUUGUUCGGAUUUACUGGGCGUAAAGCGCGCGUAGGCGGCCAGAUAAGUCGGGUGUGAAAGCCCUCGGCUCAACCGAGGUUCCGCAUCCGAUACUGCUUGGCUGGAGUCUAGGAGAGGAGAGCGGAAUUCCCAGUGUAGCGGUGAAAUGCGUAGAUAUUGGGAGGAACACCCGUGGCGAAGGCGGCUCUCUGGACUAGUACUGACGCUGAGGCGCGAAAGCUAGGGGAGCGAACGGGAUUAGAUACCCCGGUAGUCCUAGCCGUAAACGAUGGGCACUAGGUGUGGGAGGUAUUGACCCCUUCCGCGCCGAAGCUAACGCAUUAAGUGCCCCGCCUGGGGAGUACGGCCGCAAGGCUAAAACUCAAAGGAAUUGACGGGGGCCCGCACAAGCGGUGGAGCAUGUGGUUCAAUUCGACGCAACGCGAAGAACCUUACCAGGGCUUGACAUCCCACGAACCUGCCUGAAAGGGCGGGGUGCC